rnacentral:lncRNA from 1 species
GUUUGGACUUCGAAAUUUUUCAAAAAUAGAAAGGGAAAAAAAUUGAAUGGGCCCUAUUCAACUGUAUUUCCCUACCGAUGUUCUAUUUUAGAAUGACCAAUGAUUUCAUGCAACCGUUGUAUAGUAAUAUUAUGUAACAACCUUAAAAAACCAUCUUAUAGCCAGUUGUAGAGUAAUAUGAUGUAACAACCUUAAAAAACGAUCUUAUAGCCAUUUGUUUGAUCCAAAUUUUUAAAUAUACAUCCUUUUCAUUCUAAUGAACAAUUACAAAAAAAGAAAAAUUGAAAACACAACCUAUAAAAUAUUUUUUUAGCCCAAUUAACAUAGACCGUUCAUUUUGGUGAG